UAAAGCUUUGUAAAAGAUGCGGCUCAGCGUAGAGAGCCCUGGUCACAGUCACGGGACCGGGAGGUGUGGAAUGCAAGAAACAUUUAACUCCUUAAGGCGUGAGAUCACAAAUAAGUUAUUAGAAUGUUCUUAACUGGGCAUUCUAAGGCUGAUUUAACAAUCACCACUGGUAAUUGAAAGCAGAGUUUUAGAAUACCGACUUAUAAUUGCUACCAAUAACAGCUACCAAGCGACUUUGGUGGAUAAAGUCGUUGAAGGUACAAUUGGCUGGCAGACAGAAAGUCCAGCUGUGCAGACUGGCUGAUCCUCAUGUUAUCUGGAGGGUCUCACUGCAAGUACAGUACUGCAUCAUGAGAACCAGUGCCAAUUUCAGCAGAUACAGUGUGGCAUCAUGGGAACCAGCGCCAAUUUCAACGGGUACAGUGCUGCAUCAUGGGAAUCAGUGCCAAUUCAGGGGCAGAGUGAUGGCCAAUCUGUUCUGGAAUUUCAUGACUACUCUUUAUAAUUCCACUCACACAUAACAACAAUCUCUGUGGGUUGCACUCCAAACUCCAAACUUUGGUAAUUGUGCCACAAGCCAGGAGGCAGAACAGGGGCAACAGCAGGGCAUUCUGCAAACAGGGUUACAAGCGGAGCAUGUUGCCAUGGGUUCCAGCUACACUAAGAUCAGUAACGGAUUGCGGAAACUCGAUGGCAUCUGUUGUGCGUGGCCCUCUCACCCCUGUGCAUUUCAGAUUCCCGAGACUCAUGCAUGACAUCUGCUUCCUCCUUUCAGAUUGGAUCCCUGAUGAUUUAAUCAUCCUGUACACCACACUUCAAAAGAUCUCUCUCCAUAGCUUUAAUUCCAUAAACAUUUGGACCAAAAGAAAAAGGCCAUGAUGCACAUAACACACAAAUGUGCUAAAAUUGGUGGUUGACAGCUCUCAAAAUUAAAAGACACUAGCGGCAUGUUGGUUUGGAAGCUGGCUAGCUGCACUGACAUUCCUUAUAUGCAAGAUGGUUUGAGGUUUAUGUGAGUUUAGCGGUGUUGCAAUUUGAAUAAUUCAGUCCCUGGAAAAUCCCACAUGAUUUCAGCAUGAAAGGAGCCCUUUCACAUCUGGGGACACUGGAAUAAAAAGACACAAUGCGGCAAUGUCCCCUCCCCCCAUGCGAACUCUAGUGUUUGAGUCCAGGCGGUUUCGUUCGGGUUAUUCUGCGUUCUGAUUCUGUUCUGUUUAGCGGUUCCAGACGUGACAGUUCCUCUUCAGCAGAAUCUGAUUCAGUCACUCUGCCACCCGACCCACAGUUUUUCCCACGGUGCGCAGGAACUGCCGCCGUGGGCUACGCAUGGCAAAUUGUGGUCACUCACUCACUCACUCAAGACCUUUCAGGGACGUUUUUGUGGGACGCAUGUGCAGGUGGUACUUCGUUUAGUAGGACGCAUGCGCAGGUGGUGCCAGCUAAAAUGCGUCUGCGGAAGUGAGUUGCGCCGUGGGUCUGGACGGUUACGUUCUUGUUUAUUUCUAUUUCCGUAUUGGGCCCCUUUCUAUUGCACGGUUUGUUUGGCCAUUUUUUCUGAUUCGUCUAUAGCCCUUUUCUCUAAACAAGUUCACACUUAUGAGAACACGGCCGCCCCUAUUAUGUGCUCGACCUUGAUUAGUCGCUCAGACGCACCCUUUGCUGAAGUCUCGGAUGAAAGACUACUAAAUCACUCUGUUCAGUGUCUCUUAAACAAUGUUUUUGCUCAGACUCAGUAAGUAAGCUGCACACAUCUGUCUAUAAAUGUGUCCUAAAAGCCCACUCCAAAUCCACACUUUUUCCUUUUACUGUUGGGAACUUUCAGUUUUGGUUCUGGGGUCACUGGUGUUCCUCCAGCACCCCCAAAAGUUUACUGUUCCUGAACUGCAUUCACUUCUCUAAUAGGUUAACAGCAAACCAGUGACUGUUUUACAUGGCAUAGACAAAAUCAGCGCCUUCAGUCACAUCCAGCUAAUUGCAAAGCUGAGGGUUGAAUCUAUUACUGUUUGUAUGACUGAGUUUUGUGUUUCAUUUGGAUUUAUUGGUAAAAAAAAAAAAUGAACAGAGCAGUGUUAUUGGGCGGGGUCUGGAUGGGUCUUUAUUAGAUCAUCUUUAAACCACUUUAUCACCUGUUUGGCUUUACCUGCUGCUGUGGCUGGCUGCAGGUGCAGACUGCGUCAGAAAUGCAGUGCAGAGUCUGAGAAGCUAGAGGGCGCUAGUGUUCAGUGACCUCCAUUUGGGUUGAUAUUUAGGGAGGAGGAAACUGAGAAGUUCAUUAACAAAUCACAAAAAAUCUUUUUGAGAGCUCUUCUUCUUCAGUAACUCGAUGUAAAUUUCAAUUUUCUGUAUUCACGGGGAUGCUGUACGUUAUUUCAUGAUAUUUGUUUGCACACACACAAUAUUGUGCAUGUGUCCUUCGUGGAGAGCAAUAUGAUAUUCAGGGAAAUUUAAAAAAUAAAUCCAAGAUCUAAUUCACUUUUUAAUCAAAUUUUGCGAGAAAAGUACUGCCUAGAACAUGAAGUUCUUUAAACCCUUUUUAUGUAAACAGCA